AUGAUGCCGCCCAUCGACGCGUCGGAGAUCCCCUGGGUCAGCUUGGCCAGCACCAGCGCCCCUGAGAGGCGCAGAACCAACAUCCAGAAUGUCCUCAAGACCAACCUGUCGAUGCCACUCGCCGAGGUGGUCAUCUGCAACACUUCUAUGGAGUUGAAGCCCGACGCUCUGGCCCUCCUCCCCAACGCGCUGCCUCUCGGCCCGCUGGCCGCGCCCACGUCGAGGCCGGCCGGGCACUUCUUGCCCGAGGACCUCGCCUGCCUCGCCUGGCUCGACGUGCAACCCCCCGGCUCCGUCGUCUACGUGGCCUUCGGCAGCUCCGGCUUCCUGGACGCAACGCAGUUCCAAGAGCUCGCCGACAGGCUCGCGCUCUCCGGCCGGCCGUUCCUGUGGGUGGUCCGCCCAAAGUUCACCACCAGACCCGGGCAGGACCGGUUCGACCUCGACGCGUUCAGGCGGGUGCGUGGAGGGGCAGGGGCUGGUGGUGGGGUGGGCGCCGCAGCAGCGCGUGCUCUCGCACCGCUCCGUGGCAUGCUUCGUGUCGCACUGCGGGUGGAACUCGACCGUGGAGGGCGUGUUGCACGGGUGCCGCUCCUGUGCUGGCCCUACUUCGCGGACCAGUUCUGCAACCAGAGCUACAUGUGCAACGUGUGGGUCACCGGCGCCAGGCGCCGGCGAGACAAGCGAGGGGUCAUGGCGAAGGUGGAGAUCCAGAGCAAGGCCGCGCGGCUGCUCGGUGACGAGGGGGUCAAGGCGAGGGCCGCGGCGUGGAAGGAGGUCGCGUGCCGCAGCAUCCGGGAGGGAGGGUCCUCGCAUCGGAACUUGCUCAAGCUUGUCAGCUUGCUGAGACAACAAUGA
rnacentral:rRNA from 1 species